AUUGAACGCUAGCGGGAUGCUUAACACAUGCAAGUCGAACGAGUGGCGGACGGGUGAGUAAUAUAUCGGAACGUGCCCAGUGGCGGGGGAUAACUACUCGAAAGGGUGGCUAAUACCGCAUACUAUUGGAGCGGCCCAUAUCGGAUUAGCUAGUUGGUGGGGUAGAGGCUCACCAAGGCCACGAUCCGUAGCUGGUUUGAGAGGAUGACCAGCCACACUGGGACUGAGACACGGCCCAGACUCCUACGUGAGGCAGCAGUGGUGAAUUUUGGACAAUGGGGGAAACCCUGAUCCAGCCAUGCCGCGUGUAUGAGAAGGCCUUCGGGUUGUAAAGUACUUUUGGCAGAGAAGCGUUAUCUGCAGAAUAAGCACCGGCUAACUACGUGCCAGCAGCCGCGGUAAUUC
rnacentral:rRNA from 1 species